ensembl:lncRNA
CUAGCUCAAAUAUGCUUCAAUGGUAUUCUGCACACUUAGGAUAGGGCUCGAGUAAAUGUUUGUUUAACUGAAUUAAGCUCCCUUUUUCCUGCCUUCUUUUUAGACAGGCACAAUGAUUAGCAGCUAAAGUUUUCAAUCAUGAAGGCAUCAUAGGUGUUAGAACAAGAGUGACUUCGUUUUGAGUGAGGGCUAGGAAAAUGAAACUGAGACUCCAUUUUGAGUGACGAGUAGGAAAAUGAAACUGAGACUCCAUUUUGAAUGAGGGCUGGAAAAUGAAACUGAGACUCCAUUUAGAGUGAGGGCUGGAAAAUGAAACUGGACUCUAUUUUGAGUGAGUGCUGGAAAAUGAAACUGAGACUUGCUGGGCUGCAUUCUCAGAAAGUUAGGCAUUCCGAGGCUCUAUAUGUUUAAGGUUAAGGGGACAAAUUAAUAAUGUUUACUAAGUGUUGUCUGAUAUCUGGACAACAAAGGCAUUCCUAAUUUUGCUUUAAAGAUAAUAGUAUUGAAUCUUGCAAAAUAUAGUAGUUAAGAAAAUUAAUCCUUUAUCACAAACCCUUGUAGCAGAGCACAUCUCCCCAUAGAUACAAGCAUUGUACCUAGGGUGGACGCGUCCUCCUCUUACUUUCAGGAACAGCCUACUCUCUCUAUGGAGUAGCUGUCCUUUCACCACUUUACUUUCCUAAUAAACUUGCUUUGACUUUGCACUGUGGAGUCCCUGAAUUCUUUCUUGUGUGAGAUCCAAGAACCCUCUCUUGUGGUCUGGAUUGGAAACCCUUUCCUGUAACAUGGUCACUGAGGACCUGUGGAUGAUGUGGACAAAUCCUGUUACAUUCCCUGCUGCCACUUUCUCACCUGUAAAAUGGGAUUUAUAUGUCUUAUCUACAUCAUGAAGUUGUUUUGGGAAAAAGUGAAAAAGUAACGACGUACUUUGACAUGCCCUAGCACAUUCUGGAAUGAUUAUGAUUACGUGCUUCCUCUAAGGAGAGAAGUGGCAAACACACAAGCCCUGUUUUGUGGCUGUGGCUGACCCCACUCCUCACAGUGACCUUCUCCUGGACCUUGAUUCAGCCUCAGCUUUCUCAACACAGUGCCAAGAGAUUAAAUUUUGCACAGGAGGUGUCUGCCACAGACUGCUGGGCUUUGGAAGCAAAUAAGAGAAUCUCUGCAAAAUUGUUGUAAGCAAUUAAGAAGAGACUUCUAAUUCUGUUAACAGGAGACUAGAUAAUGAAGACCAGUCUUCCUACCAAGAGCAAUUAGAAAAACUGAACACAACAUUAAAAAAAAAAAAAAAAAAAAAAGCUUACCUAUCUGUUUAAAACUUUGGAGAACUUCCAAGACAGCAAGAACUCGAAGGCCGGCUGAUAUGGUUUGGUGCUAUGUCCCCACCCAAAUCUCACCUUGAAUUGUAGUUCUCAUAAUACCCAUGUGUCAUGGGAAGGACCCAGUGGGAGGUAAUUUAAUCAUGGGGGCAGUUACCCUCAUGCAUUCUCAUGAUGUUGAGUGAAUUCUCAUGAGAUCUGAUGGUUUUAUAAGGAGCUUCUCCUCCUUUUGCUUGGCAUUUCUUGCUGCCACCAUGUGAAGAAGGACAUGUUUGUUUCCACUUCCAUCGAGGUUGUAAGUUUCCUGAGGCUUCCCCAGCUCUGCAGAACUGGAGUCCAUUAAACCUCUUUCCUUUAUAACUUGCCUAGUCUCAGAUAUUUCUUCUUAGCUGUGUGAGAACAUACUAAUACAGUAAAUUGGUACUGAGGUGGUGGGGUGCUGCUGUAAAGAUAGCCAAAAAUGAGGAAGCGACUUUGGAACUGGGUAACAGGCAGAGGUUGGAACAAUUUGGAGGACUCAGAAGAAAAGUUUGAAGCUUCCUAGAAAUUUGUUGAAUGGCUUUGACCAAAAUACUGACAGUGAUUUCAGCAGUAAAGCCCAUCUGAGGUGGGCUCAGAUGGAGAUGAGGAACUUGUUGGGAACUGGAAUAAAGGCGACUCUGGCUAUGUUUUAGCAAAGAGACUGGCAGCAUUUUGCCCCUGCCCUAGAGAUCUGUGAAACUUUGAACUUGAGAGAGAUGAUCUAGGGUAUCUGGCACAAGGAAUUUCUAAGCAGCAAAGCAUGUAAGAGGAAGCAGAGCUUAGAAGUUUUGAAAAUUUGCAGCCUGAUGAUGUGAUAGAAAAGAAAAACCAAUUUUUCUGGAGAGAAAUUCAAGCCAACUAUAGAAAUUUGCAUAAGUAAUAAGGAAUCAAAUGUUAAUCACUGAGACACU